UAGGGAAUCUUCGGCAAUGGACGAAAGUCUGACCGAGCAACGCCGCGUGAGUGAAGAAGGUUUUCGGAUCGUAAAACUCUGUUGGUAGAGAAGAACGUUGGUGAGAGUGGAAAGCUCAUCAAGUGACGGUAACUACCCAGAAAGGGACGGCUAACUACGUGCCAGCAGCCGCGGUAAUACGUAGGUCCCGAGCGUUGUCCGGAUUUAUUGGGCGUAAAGCGAGCGCAGGUGGUUUAUUAAGUCUGGUGUAAAAGGCAGUGGCUCAACCAUUGUAUGCAUUGGAAACUUGUAGACUUGAGUGCAGGAGAGGAGAGUGGAAUUCCAUGUGUAGCGGUGAAAUGCGUAGAUAUAUGGAGGAACACCGGUGGCGAAAGCGGCUCUCUAGCCUGUAACUGACACUGAGGCUCGAAAGCGUGGGGAGCAAACA
rnacentral:rRNA from 1 species